rnacentral:rRNA from 1 species
CCUACGGGUGGCAGCAGUAGGGAAUCUUUCACAAUGGGCGAAAGCCUGAUGGAGCCACGCCGCGUGCAGGAUGAAGGCCUUCGGGGUGUAAACUGCUUUUAUAAGCGAGAAAUAUGAUGGUAACUUAUGAAUAAGGAUCGGCUAACUACGUGCCAGCAGCCGCGGUCAUACGUAGGAUCCGAGCAUUAUCCGGAGUGACUGGGUGUAAAGAGUUGCGUAGGUGGCAUAAUAAGUAGCUAGUGAAAUCUGGUGGCUCAACCAUUCAGACUACUAGCUAAACUGUUAAGCUCGAGACCGUUAGGGGUAACUGGAAUUUCUAGUGUAGGAGUGAAAUCCGUAGAUAUUAGAAGGAACACCGAUAGCGUAGGCAGGUUGCUGGGACGGUUCUGACACUAAGGCACGAAAGCGUAGGGAGCAAACGGGAUUAGAUACCCUGGUAGUC